CCUACGGGAGGCAGCAGUGGGGAAUUUUGGACAAUGGGGGCAACCCUGAUCCAGCCAUUCCGCGUGAGUGAAGAAGGCCUUCGGGUUGUAAAGCUCUUUCGCAAGGGAAGAAAACUUAUGAUCGAAUAAAUCAUGAGGUUGACGGUACCUUGAUAAGAAGCACCGGCUAACUACGUGCCAGCAGCCGCGGUAAUACGUAGGGUGCGAGCGUUAAUCGGAAUUACUGGGCGUAAAGCGUGCGCAGGCGGUUUUGUAAGUCGGAUGUGAAAUCCCCGGGCUCAACCUGGGAACUGCGUUCGAAACUGCAAGGCUAGAGUGUGUCAGAGGGGGGUAGAAUUCCACGUGUAGCAGUGAAAUGCGUAGAGAUGUGGAGGAAUACCAAUGGCGAAGGCAGCCCCCUGGGAUAACACUGACGCUCAUGCACGAAAGCGUGGGGAGCAAACAGGAUUAGAUACCCUGGUAGUCCACGCCCUAAACGAUGUCAACUAGUUGUUGGUAGAGUAAAAUCUAUGAGUAACGUAGCUAACGCGUGAAGUUGACCGCCUGGGGGAGGUACGGUCGCGAAGAGUUAAACUUAACGAAAGUAAGUUAGUUAGGCGNGAGACGNGCGACGGACGACGACGAGGGAGGAGG
rnacentral:rRNA from 1 species